GGUAGAAUGGCCGAAGAGGGUAUUAGACUGUAAAUCUAAGCAUAGAGGUUAAGUCCUCUUUCUGCCA
rnacentral:tRNA from 1 species